rnacentral:tRNA from 1 species
GAGGAUUUAGCUUAAGUUAAAGCGUUUGAUUUGCAUUCAAUUGAUGUGAGAUGGGAUCUUGCAGUCCUUA